GCGGUAUUGGCCAAGGUCAUCAAAGCAAACCUCUUGAGUCUUAAGAUUCAGAAGAAUAUGCAGACGUCAGAAGAGCUGUCACCAUUGCACCACAAAGACACGGGAGGAACAUUUGUCUAUUCUAGUUGGGCACAGCUUUCCGAAGAAAAUGGCACAGGAAUCCGUCAAGUUGAUAUUCUUUGAACGUGAAAACUACGGUGGAAAUUACGUGGAACUCAGUGAGGGCUCCAACGACUUAACGAAGAUGCUUCCGAGGGGAGGUUCGUCUAUAAUUGUACAGGAAAACGCCGGUCGAUGGAGGGCUUUUACUGAAGUAACCUACCAGGGUGCAUAUGCUAUUUUGGAGCCUGGUAAAAGAUACAAGUCUCUUGAAGAAAUGGGACUCGGAAACCCUGUUAAAAGCUUUCGUAAAGAGUUUUGAGAUGUCCUACAAGUAUUUUGAUUGUAAAAGUUUCAGCAUAUUUAGUUUGUUAUUGAUGUUUGUAUACCUCUGAGUGCCUGAGAAGAAGAAUAAAUUCGCUUGUUUUUUCUGAA